AGUCUUUCUAGAGAUUCUAUUAGAGGAUUACAUAUGAAUGUAUAUAGACAUACUCUAGAGUGUAGAUUCAUUCAUUUUGCUUUGUACGUAGUCAUCUACUGAAAUCUUUUAAAAGACUUAUAUUUAGGAACGGAGGGGUAGUAAAUAAAAACGCUUGUAGCAAAUAUGAACAAAGGUACAUAAAAAACGUUUGUAUCAAAAUAACAUAUGGUUGUAACAAAUUUGACGAAAAAAUGUUGCAUGCAUCUGCCAGCGGCGACCGGCUGAAAGCUUUUACCUAUAUUUUUCCAGCUUCUUACUAGUGCGCCGGAAGCAUAAUAUUCAUGCCUCUUUUUAUUUAUUUCUAUAUAGCUUCGACAAUGCAUGUCCCGAUGUCUGAGAGGCGAAAUUUGAUUUUGCAGCAAGUUUGUCGGGGAGUCAUGGAAAUUUCUCCCUUGCCACUGCAGGAAGAUGGCUAGGUUAGUGACCGUGCAGGCUAAGCCAUCUGAAAUUGAUGUGUGCUGCGGUGUUGGAAGGGUAAAAUGUGGCGACCAAAUGUACCACACGUGUUGAUCGAUUAACCCAAAAGAAGGAGACGCGUGCGAGAGUGCAAGAGGGGAGCACGUUAUGUACGUACUCUUCGGGUUUUGUUUCUUCUUUUGUGACGCUGAUUGAUGGUGGUUGAGACGUCGCACGCAUUCAUGCAGCGACGCGGACACGGGAAUCCACCCGUUCCGUUCUAUUCCAGGGAUCGCACGGCAGACGGGACCUCAUUCCGGCGGACCACGACGGGCGCCAUCCCUUCGCUUUCAUUCGUUCACUCGCUCGACCGCUCAUUAACCCCAAUCACAACCACAGUCUAGUCCAGCAACCACUGUAUGUAUCCUCUGCAAUCUCAAAUAUCACGUUUUGGGAUUUUUCACCUUGUCUCUUAUACUAAUCUGUACGGGGCAGUAGUAGAAAUAAGGGCUUUCGUCCCAGCUUGAAAAACACAUUACUUUCGGUUUCAUUACGAACCGGAACUAAUGUUAACAUUAGUCCCGGUUCGAACGGCAAAGACGUUGGUCGGGCAUUAGUCCCGGUUCAAAUGGGACCUUUAGUUUCGGUUCGUGUCUAGAAUCGGGACUAAAGGGUAGACUUUUAGUCCCGGUUCGUGACACGAACCGGGACUAAAGGGGUUCAAAUUUUUUUUUCCUGUUUUUAAAUUUUUGUUUGUACUUUCUGUUUUAAAUUGCUUAUACCUUUUAGGAUAUUUCAU
rnacentral:lncRNA from 1 species